GGCUUUUGCCUUCCUCCUCCUACACCUCCUCCUCCUCUCACUUCCUUGCACCCUUCCCUUCUCCCUCCUUCUGCAGCUCAGGUUGCAGCUUCUUUAGCGAGCCGCUCACCUUUCCACAGCAGGGACGCGCUCGGUCCGGUGUAGGAACCCCGGGGAGUGCUGGACAGGGUACCCUGCCUAGCAGCGCGACCGCGGAGGGUGGGAACCCGCGCGCCGCGACCAGGACACGCGCGGAGUCGGCCGCCCGGGUGAGGGCGGCGGGCGGCGACCCCGGGGCACCGCGCCGGCCAGCGGAGCAAAGAACCCACCACUGGACCCAGCUGAUCAUGAAUAAGAUGAAGAACUUCAAGCGCAGGUUCUCCCUGUCAGUGCCCCGCCCAGAGACCAUUGAGGAAUCCUUGGCUGAGUUCACCGAGCAGUUCAACCAGCUCCACACCCAGAGGAAUGAGGAUGGUGGGGAUGAACCUGGUCAGCUGUCCCCUGGUUUGCAGUAUCAACGACAGCAGAGCCAACGCCGCUUCUCUAUGGAGGAUCUCAAUAAGAGGUUGUCUCUGCCUAUGGAUAUCCGCCUACCCCCAGAAUUCCUGCAGAAGAUCCAGCUGGAGAGCCCAGGGCUGUGCAGGCCACUCAACCGCAUGUCCCGCCGUGCCUCCUUGUCAGAUAUUGGCUUCGGGAAACUGGAAACAUAUGUGAAACUGGACAAACUGGGGGAGGGUACCUAUGCUACUGUCUUCAAGGGGCGUAGCAAGCUAACAGAGAACCUAGUGGCCCUGAAGGAGAUCCGGCUGGAGCAUGAGGAGGGGGCACCUUGCACUGCCAUUCGAGAGGUGUCUCUGCUGAAGGACCUGAAACACGCCAAUAUUGUGACCCUGCAUGACCUCAUCCACACAGAUCGGUCCCUCACCUUGGUGUUUGAGUACUUGGACAGUGAUCUGAAGCAGUAUCUGGACCACUGUGGAAGCCUCAUGAGCAUGCAUAAUGUCAAGAUCUUCAUGUUCCAGCUGCUCCGGGGCCUGGCCUACUGCCACCGCCGCAAGAUCCUGCACCGGGACCUGAAACCCCAGAACCUGCUCAUCAAUGAGAGGGGCGAGCUAAAGCUGGCUGAUUUUGGCCUGGCUCGGGCCAAGUCAGUGCCCACAAAGACCUAUUCCAAUGAGGUGGUGACCCUCUGGUACAGGCCCCCAGAUGUGCUGCUGGGAUCUACAGAGUACUCCACCCCCAUUGACAUGUGGGGCGUGGGCUGUAUCCACUAUGAGAUGGCCACCGGGAGGCCCCUCUUCCCAGGUUCCACGGUCAAGGAGGAGCUGCACCUCAUCUUUCGCCUCCUCGGGACUCCUACAGAAGAGACAUGGCCCGGUGUGACCGCCCUUUCUGAGUUUCGAGCCUAUAACUUCCCCCUGUACCUGCCGCAGCCACUGCUCAGCCACGCCCCCAGGUUGGAUACUGAAGGCAUCAACCUCCUGACCAGCCUCCUCUUGAGGAGUCUCCAACAGAGCCAAAUAGCUCACCCUGUGCCUUUCAGUACGAAUCCAAGAGUCGCAUGUCUGCAGAGGCGGCCCUCAGUCACCCCUACUUCCAGUCUCUGGGGGAGCGUGUGCACCAGCUCCAUGACACUGCCUCCAUCUUCUCCUUGAAGGAGAUCCAGCUCCAAAAGGACCCAGGCUACCGUGGUCUAGUCUUCCAACAUCCAGGGCGAGGGAAGAGCCGGCGGCAGAGCGUCUUCUGAACUGUGUGCCCAGAACACAAGUUCAGGAAGUAUGGGGCCUGUAGAGCCAUCAGAGCCAGUGGCUAGCCCUGAGGACCACUGGCAGCCUGUUGGUAGCAGCAGUUUUGUCUCCCUGCUUCCCACACACUUCUGUAACAGCCUUUACCUGGACAUAACCCCUUUUCACCCUCUGUGGGAGGGGAUGUGAUCUGCUUCCCCGAGAGGAGGCAAGGGGCAAGGAGGGACCUUUCCCAGCUGAAAUGCUGAGGUACCAGCAUGGACAGGAGAAUGUGGGGGUCUGCUUGGCUCAUCAGCUUGACAGAUACCUUUGUUGCCCCUUAGACACACAUUUCACCUUCCUGGAAUUCUGGGUGCCCAUAUGUGUGCCAAUCUCCCCAACAGGGGCAGACAUCCCUGGAACAGUAGAAAAACUAAUAGCCUGUCUUGUCACUAUCCCCACUGUGCUGUCGCACCCUCUUUACCAGAGGCCCCUUGUACCCUCUGGCUUGGACUGAGGCUGAGCAGCACCAGCAUGCUACCAGUGACCAGCUGCAUCUGUAGGUGGCCUGGUACUGCCAGCUGCACUCCUGCCACCUUCACCACCCCCUCCCAGUCUGGAAAGAGUUGCCUUAAAAUGACAGGUGGUAGAGUAUAUACUGCCCUCGGAGCCCUGACCUUGCUCCUACCUGUCCUUUCUUCCCAAAGAGCCACUCCUGUGGGUGAUAUCGCCCCUGAGGACUGAUAAGUAGGUCCUGUCUCAGGGUCCUGAGACUGGUACCUAGAUAUGCAAGGUCACUUUGACACUUAGUACCAGGCCGGCCUUGGGUCCUUGGGGUUGGCACAGCCUCUCCCAUCCCUUACCUCCUUUCCAGCCCUGUGGCCCUGUCUACCUGACCCUGACACUAGCCUCCACAGAGGGUGGUCAUGAGAGGAAGGGAGUGUCAGCAUCGCAGCCUGAGCUGGAGAGAGGUGAGAUGUAGCAGGUUUAAUCCUGACAGCCGAAACUCCUGGGGCCUGGAUCCCCUGGAGAAGGCACUCCUUUUCAGAAUGCUCUCAUAUUCCGGGGUCUCAACACUUGACUGAACUUAGAGGGCAAAGGCUGAGGGGAGGCCAAGCCCUGGCUUUCUCUACAGGCCCCAUGCCCAGCCCAACCCCUGGAGCCUGGGUUCUCCCCAGCCCUCCCCCUUCCCCCCCACUGACUGUGAAUGUUCUGUGACUCAGAGGAAAGACAGAGAAUAUAUUUAAUUCAUGUACAGAAAGCAGUGAGCAGUCUCAUGCAGAGAAGCUGGCUGAUAGAUCAAUGCCAAAGAUGGAGAAUUGAGGGCCCUAAGUGGUUGGGCUUGCUUAUACAUACAUAAAACCAGUGA